CUAAUUCUUUGGCUCCUGCUUAUCAAAAUGAUUUUAUAUAUAAAAUCAUUGGAGGUAUGAUUCAUCUUUUUACCGAUGAACAUUAUUUCUUUUGAAUGCACAAUGCCUCAGACUUAUGAUAUUCUACAUCAUGCUUAUUCAGGUAUAAUUUUUUAAAAUUGCUUUCCUCUCUUAAAAAAAAGAAAAAAAAUUCCCUUCAUUCUGUAGUCAACUUCUUGCAUUGGGAAGUUAAAUUUCAACUCAGGUGGUAGUUUAGUAUGAGGUUAAUAAGAGGUGAUUAUUACCCUUGUAACUUUUAAC
rnacentral:misc_RNA from 1 species